UGGCAAGCCACUUGGAAAAACAGUUCGUCUCAUUCAUAAACUAUGCAAUGAACCAGGUAGCCAAGACGAGAAACCCCAGGUCUCCAAGAAUGAGCCACUCUCUGAGUUGCAGCCUCACCACCCGGAGUCACUCACCACUGCCCUCAACUGGGUUCUGUAUGGUCUGCCUCACCAAGCCAUCGUGUGAGCUAAACCCUGGAGUCUUUGUGAAGCCACUAUCCCUAGCUCUACCUCUCUGUGACUCCUCCCCACUCAGGGCUCUUUCCCCACUUUCUGGGGCUCACCCCAGCCUUGAUACAGCCUGAUAUCUGUCCUGUCCGGGUAUAGCACCUAGGCUCUUGCUAAUUCUCAUUAGCCUGCCAGUUUGUUUUUGGUUUCAGUAUUUAGUAAACAACAAAACAAAGUGUAUGGUGUGUUUCUGAAAG
rnacentral:lncRNA from 1 species